rfam:Trichobilharzia regenti genome assembly, scaffold: TRE_scaffold0037451
AUCCGGUUGACGAGUCCCAAAUAGGACGAAAUGUGCAUCCUGGAU